rnacentral:piRNA from 1 species
UAACAAGCUAAGGGUUCUGGGAAGAAG